AAACACAGAGCACUGAAGACACCGCGAUGCGACCGCGACAGAAGGCGAAGUAGGGGAGAUGGACACCUGUUGCGGCGAAGAAGCGCCGGCGACGGCGUGCUCCAAGCGCAAGGGCACGAGCGAUGCGCCGCCUACGGAAGACGCUUUGGACCAUGCACAAGCACCGAAGAGACCCAGGUCAGGAGCCAGGAAGAUAGACGCGAUC
rnacentral:lncRNA from 1 species